rnacentral:rRNA from 1 species
UGACCUCAGAUCAGACGAGGAUACCCGCUGAACUUAAGCAUAUCAAUAAGCGGAGGAAAAGAAACCAACAGGGAUUGCCUCAGUAACGGCGAGUGAAGCGGCAAGAGCUCAAAUUUGAAAUCUGGCGUCUUUUGGUGCCCGAGUUGUAAUUUGAAGAGGAUGCCUCGGUAGCGGCCCCAGCCUAAGUUCCUUGGAACAGGACGUCACAGAGGGUGAGAAUCCCGUACGUGGCCGGCGGCUUGCUUCCAUGUGUGGCUCCCUCGAAGAGUCGAGUUGUUUGGGAAUGCAGCUCAAAAUGGGUGGUAAAUUUCAUCUAAAGCUAAAUACUGGCGAGAGACCGAUAGCGCACAAGUAGAGUGAUCGAAAGAUGAAAAGCACUUUGAAAAGAGAGUUAAACAGUACGUGAAAUUGUUGAAAGGGAAGCGCUUGCAAUCAGACUCGCUGGCGGUUGAUCAACGGUCCUUCUGGGCCGUGCACUCUUCCGUCUUGCGGGCCAGCAUCGGUUGGGACGGCGGGACAAAGGCGUCGGGAAUGUGGCUCCCCUCGGGGAGUGUUAUAGCCCGGCGUGUAAUGCCGCCUGCCCCGACCGAGGUCCGCGCUCCGGCUAGGAUGCUGGCUUAAUGGUUGUAAGCGACCCG